GCUCAUUUCUCUCUCUGUCAGC
rnacentral:miRNA from 1 species